UAAGGUGGGAUAGAUGAUUGGGGUGAAGUCGUAACAAGGUAGCCGUAUCGGAAGGUGCGGCUGGAUCACCUCCUUUCUAAGGAA
rnacentral:rRNA from 2 species